rnacentral:lncRNA from 1 species
UCCAAAGUGUCUGCAGCCAGUGUAGGAGUGACUUCCCACAAAGUGUUAAGCGACAGUGAGACGCUGGCGGUUUUCCAGGGCACUGAGGCCGUGGGCAGGCUGGCUGGCCCCACCAGGGGAAGUGUUUGCAGUCCUGGUCGAUGGGCACACAAGCCUGAAAAUGUUUCUCCUGUGUGCUGGUGCAGUCCGGCUAUUUUUGAAGAAUGCUUGCUCUUGUUAAACAAAGCCUGAGCCCUGUUGGGAUGAGGCUGUUUUGAGCUGAGGCAGAGCUAGAAAGACAAGGGUGAAACACUGUGGAGAACCCUCAUGGAUCCUCUAAUCUGUGCAUGAUCUUGGAGGCCACACUUACACUGACUGCCACCCCCACACUGCUGGGCACCUGUGGCUCAAACGUUUCUCACCGUCUGCCACCUGCAUCCCUCGGUCUCGCCCUUGACACUGCAGGGAGGAGCUGAACCCCUGUGCUGUGAGCACUCUUCAGAUGGAUGAGGAUGUAGCAGCAGCCUCCCCCAGGCUUCUCAUCACCUCUGCCCUUGUCGCACACUCCUGUUAAGCCCAUAUCAAAUCAUUCCAUGCAUAAAACAAGUUGCCAAGGAGAGAGACUUACUGCUAUUUUUUUUUUUUAAAAAAGACCCGAACCCUUCUGUUUUUGUCAAAGUACACAAUGGAGUAGAAAUUUUGGAAAAUAGAGGAAAUAGCUUUAAAAAUAAUCACAUAUAAUCUCCCAGGCCAGAGAAAACUACUGAGAAUGUUUCACGGUACAUCUCCGUUUCUUCCAGUGCAUAGAAUUAGCUUCUACAUGGUGUUAAUAGUAUUGUAUUGUACUUAUUGCUUUAUAAUAUCCUUUUAUAUUUUAGAACAUCCUAGACUUUUUCACAAUUUAUUAAGUAUUCUCUAUGACAUUGGUUUCGUGGCUUUAAGCAUUUCUGCUGGAAGAGCCCUUGAUCACUCUCCAUUUCUUUCCUUUUCAAAUUUUCUUUCACGGCAUGCAUUGCCAUCUGCCAUUUUACGAUGUAUUUAGUGAUUUCUUGUCUGUGUCCUCAGCUAAAAUAGAAGCUUCAGCAGGAUAGGGUCUUUGCUGGUUUUGUCCACUGUUAUAUUAAAAGAACACAGAAUAAUAAGUGACACAUGGCAGACGGUCCACAAAUAUUUGUUGGAUACAUGAGUGGCUUUAAGCAGUCAUCCACUGAUGGACACUUGAAGUGACUAUGCAAUACACUACAUUGUAUGUAAAUCUUUUUGCUGUUAAAGCAAAUCUUCAGUGUGACCUUUCCAGGUCAAAAAGUAUGGAUUUUAG